rnacentral:rRNA from 1 species
GAGUUUGAUCGUGGCUCAGGAUGAACGCUAGCGACAGGCUUAACACAUGCAAGUCGAGGGGCAACGGGGGUGAGCAAUCAUCUGCCGGCGACCGGCGCACGGGUGAGUAACACGUAUCCAACCUGCCGUCUACUCUUGGACAGCCUUCUGAAAGGAAGAUUAAUACAAGAUGGCAUCAUGAGUCCGCAUGUUCACAUGAUUAAAGGUAUUCCGGUAGACGAUGGGGAUGCGUUCCAUUAGAUAGUAGGCGGGUAACGCCCACUAGUCUUCGAUGGAUAGGGGUUCUGAGAGGAAGGUCCCCCCAAUUGGAACUGAGACACGGUCCAAACUCCUACGGGAGCAGCAGUGAGGAAUAUUGGUCAAUGGGCGAGAGCCUGAACCAGCCAAGUAGCGUGAAGGAUGACUGCCCUA